rnacentral:rRNA from 1 species
UAGGGAAUCUUCGGCAAUGGGGGGAACCCUGACCGAGCAACGCCGCGUGAGUGAAGAAGGUUUUCGGAUCGUAAAGCUCUGUUGUUAAGGAAGAACGAGUGUGAGAAUGGAAAGUUCAUGCUGUGACGGUACUUAACCAGAAAGGGACGGCUAACUACGUGCCAGCAGCCGCGGUAAUACGUAGGUCCCGAGCGUUGUCCGGAUUUAUUGGGCGUAAAGCGAGCGCAGGCGGUUAGAAAAGUCUGAAGUGAAAGGCAGUGGCUCAACCAUUGUAGGCUUUGGAAACUGUUUAACUUGAGUGCAGAAGGGGAGAGUGGAAUUCCAUGUGUAGCGGUGAAAUGCGUAGAUAUAUGGAGGAACACCGUUGGCGAAAGCGGCUCUCUGGUCUGUAACUGACGCUGAGGCUCGAAAGCGUGGGGAGCGAACAGG